ensembl:lncRNA
GGCCAUAAGGAGGUGGUGGCGCUAGGUGAUGGAAGCGAGUGCAGGGGCGGUAGAUGGAGGGAUCAGGGGAGGAGGAUGACUCCACUGGAGCUGACUGGGCCACGAUGUCAGCAGUUUCCUCCCGACAGUCUACCAUUACUGAGCCCAUUGAUGACACCCUCUCAACAGAGGAUGACUGUGGCCUUGUGUCCCAGAAUGAUCUGGAAGAUGCCGCAAACUGCAUGACUGAUCAGAAUGAAGACAACACUGCAAACCGGAGUCUACCACAACACCCUACGAUAUUCACCUUUUCUAAGAAGGACGUUACGGAGCCCUGCUGGUAUUGCAUGAUGUCUCUGCUUCGUGAGGACCUGAGUCUGAGUCAGCCUCUGCUGCAAUUGAGGGGUGAUGUCUGCUCGCCGCCCCCUGGUGGCAGAAGUCCAAGCUACCAGACGGACCCCAGGCCCCACUUUGGAAUUCCAAACUCGUCUCGCUCCACGCCCUUCCCUCUGUGGGGCAGCAGAGGGCCUCGUGAGUUCAGGAAGGAGGAGAGGAGGAGGAGGAAGAGGAGGAGGAGGUAUGCAUGUGUCCUCACUGCAACCUGGCCCUUCCUCCAGACACACUCCGCUGGCAC